GUAUUUCCACAAAUUAAAUGAUAAUAUAGUUGAAAAUAAAAUUUUUUGCGGAAUUUACUUUUAUAAAACGAAAACGAAUCCUGUCAAUUAAUUGUUAUUGAAACGGUAUUUUUGUUCUUCAUGUCAACGAGUUUCGAUAUAUCAAGAGAAUUACGAUUAUAACUACGGGACGAGUCAUGGAAUGGUAUAUCUAAAGUUGCAGAUGUUGCAGUGUCAAUCAUUGUCCUCCGCGUCUUUUUAUCUUAGGAACGAUUACUAGCCUCAAGGUAAUUAAGGAGGAAAUACUUUGACACCUUUUGUCAUGCAAGACCUUCGAUUUUCCGGUGUACAAUAAUUCAAGUCUAAAUUUAUAUAAGUAACCAAAGUCAAUACGGGAAAGCUGAAUAAUGAAUAAGUACUGAGUAUUUGGUCGUCUGGUAAGUCACUCAUGCAAAUUAACAUCGUUUAAAUAAAUUCAAAAUCGUUUUAUUAUU